rnacentral:pre_miRNA from 1 species
CAUUUACUCCCUCCGUCCCAAAUUACUUGUCGCAGAAAUGGAUGUAUCUAGAACUAAAAUACAUCUAGAUACAUCCAUACUUGCGACAAGUAAUUUGGAACCGAGGGAGUACUAG